UACGGAGGGUGCGAGCGUUGUCCGGAAUCACUGGGCGUAAAGGGCGCGUAGGUGGCCCGUCAAGCGCGCGGUGAAAGCCCGGGGCUCAACCCCGGGUCGGCCGUGCGGACUGGCGGGCUCGAGCACUGUAGGGGCGGGUGGAAUUCCGGGUGUAGCGGUGGAAUGCGUAGAGAUCCGGAAGAACACCGGUGGCGAAGGCGGCCCGCUGGGCAGGAAGGGGGUCGUAAGACCCCGGCUGACACUGAGGCGCGACAGCGUGGGGAGCGAACAGG
rnacentral:rRNA from 1 species